rnacentral:rRNA from 1 species
UAGGGAAUCUUCGGCAAUGGGGGGAACCCUGACCGAGCAACGCCGCGUGAGUGAAGAAGGUUUUCGGAUCGUAAAGCUCUGUUGUUAAGGAAGAACGAGUGUGAGAAUGGAAAGUUCAUGCUGUGACGGUACUUAACCAGAAAGGGACGGCUAACUACGUGCCAGCAGCCGCGGUAAUACGUAGGUGGCAAGCGUUGUCCGGAUUUAUUGGGCGUAAAGCGAGCGCAGGCGGUCAAUUAAGUCUGAUGUGAAAGCCCCCGGCUCAACCGGGGAGGGUCAUUGGAAACUGGUUGACUUGAGUGCAGAAGAGGAGAGUGGAAUUCCAUGUGUAGCGGUGAAAUGCGUAGAUAUAUGGAGGAACACCAGUGGCGAAGGCGACUCUCUGGUCUGUAACUGACGCUGAGGCUCGAAAGCAUGGGUAGCAAACAGG